rnacentral:lncRNA from 1 species
ACGCGAGACUUUGCGAGGCGCCUCCGUGGGACAAAACUAGGCCACAGGCACAGCCGCACCCAAAAAUAACCGCCCGAAGGCCGGGGCGCCAAGUUCGUCCAGCGGAAAAAUGCCACAAAAACGGGUGGGCUAUAGCCUUGGGGGGUGGGGCUGGCCAACAUCGUCCGCCGGACUCGGAAUGGCACGAGACUUUGCAGGCGCCUCCGUGUGCCAAAAAUAGGCCGCGGGCACAGCCGCGUCCAAAAAUAACCGCCCCAAGGCCGGGACGCCAAGUUCGUCCAGCGGAAAAAGGCCACCAAAACGGGUGGGCUAUAGCCUUGGGGGGUGGGGCUGGCCAAUUUCGUCCGCCGGACUCGGAAUGGCGCGAGAGUUUGCGAGGCACCUCCGUGUGCCAAAAAUAGGCCGUGGGCACAGCCGCGCCCAAAAAUAACCGCCCGAAGGCCGGGGCGCCAAGUUCGUCCUGCGGAAAAAGCCCACAAAAUCGGGUGGGCUAUUGCCUUGGGGUGUGGGGCUGGCCAACUUCGUCCGCCGGACUCGGAAUGGCGCGAGACUUUACGAGGCGCCUCCGUGAGCCAAAAAUAGGCCACAGGCACAGCCGCACCCAAAAAUUGCUGCCCGAAGGCCGGGGCGCCAAGUUCGUCCAGCGGAAAAAUGCCACAAAAACGGGUGGGCUAUAGCCUUGGGGGGUGGGGCUGGCCAACUUCGUCCGCCUGACUCGGAAUGGCGCGAGACUUUGCAAGGCGCCUCCGUGUGCCAAAAAUAGGCCGCGGGCACAGCCGCGCC